UACAGAGGUCCCAAGCGUUAUUCGGAUUCACUGGGCGUAAAGGGUGCGCAGGUGGUCGGGUAAGUCUGAUGUGAAAUCCCGCAGCUCAACUGCGGAAUGGCAUUGGAUACUAUUUGGCUAGAGGGUUGGAGGGGGGACUGGAAUUCUCGGUGUAGCAGUGAAAUGCGUAGAUAUCGAGAGGAACACCAGUGGCGAAGGCGAGUCCCUGGACAACUCCUGACGCUGAGGCACGAAAGCUAGGGGAGCAAACAGG
rnacentral:rRNA from 1 species